GCCCUGCGCCCAGGCGCGUGGCCGCCUCUUCGUGUGCCUGUGGCAUCCCGCAGACACCACGACCAUCGUGGAGUAUGUGACGCAGACCGACGCUUGGCAGCCAGUGGCCGAGCUGCGGCGUCCGCAGAGCUAUGGCCACUGCAUGGUGGCCCAUCGCGACAGCCUCUACGUGAGUGCGCAACGGACCUUCUGACGACUUCCUGCACUGCGCCAUUGACUGUCUCAACUUGGUCACAGGCCAGUGGACAGCAUUGCCCGCCAGUUUGUCAACAGCAAGGGAGCACUGUUCACGGCCGUGGUGGCGCGGGGACAUAGUCUACACAGUCAACCGCCUGUCCACGAUGCUCUACGCCAUCGAGGGGGCGGCACCUGGCGGCUGCUCAGGGGAGAAGAUCGGCUUUCCCCGGCCCGGCUCCUUGCAGACCUUUCUGCUGAGGCUGCCCCCUGGAGCUCCCGGGCCUGUGGCUUUGCCUUUGCCAGAACUGUGACCUCCAAACUGGCUUUAGAGGAAACAUCCUGAGUCGUCCCUGAGCUGAGGGUGUGUGAGGCUGGCCUGGGGAGCCACUGAGAACUUCUGACCUAUAGACACACUCAGUUCCUGGCCUUCUAGUGGCGUGAACCGAGGAGCUCAGGGAGCCCCAACAGCUGGGGUCGGAGCCCUCAGAUCACUUGGCCUCUGCUGGGAGCUGGUGGGUCACAAUGUUAGCAAGAGGGGUAGGGGCUUAGGAUUUGAAUAACCCAUGCUUGUACAUGACCAGGCCACUAAUCAAGCAUGGCUAAAUGUGAGCUAAGUAAUAGUAACCAAACCACCAAUCAGUAGGCAACGACUAGGUGCCCAAUGUAUGCCCAAUACAGUGCUAGACCUAACGAGAGAUGUGGUCACUGGGCAGGGAUCCACACAGCUUAAGAUCUAGCCCAGAAAACCUCAGUCCUAGCAGGACAGUUCCAGAACAACAGAAAGCUUACACAUAUUUGUCUCCCUCCACAAAAGAUUGAAAGCAACAUGCUACUUUAAAAAGAAAAAGAAACCACCACAGCAGGAUAACAGGGACAUAAGGAGAGGAGAAACAAAUAACUUCCAGAAGGAGGAGAGUGUACAGAUUGUAGGGAGGAGACAGGCAGGCUUCUGUGGAAAGGGGAGACUGGGAGAGGAGAGGGGGAAGGUAGAUGGGGAAGAUGCUCCGUGAGCCCCGCCUUGGGGGCAGAGGCACCGUGGAUGGAGGCAUCUUAGGGGAGGGGGUGAGGCUGGGGUGACUCACAGCAGACACAACUGAGCUGGUCCUGGAGCAGCCUGUGGGGGAGGAAAGGGUUCCCCACAUCCCCUUUGGGGACAUAGAAUGUCAGGGAGUAUGCAGCUGUAAGCCAUUUGCCAAUGCCGUUUUUUGCCCUCACUACAGGGACAAUGGAUUGUUAACCCUUAUAACUUCAGGUCAUUCAAGGGGAGGAAAGACGCACAGCAGCACAAGGGCCAAUCUGAGCUAAAUCCCCCAUCACCAGAAUCCUCUUCCCGUCAUGCCAUGCUGGUGGCCUGUGUCUCCUGCCAAGACAUCCAGAAGGGAAAACGCCUCAGUGAGCCAUCAGGUCUGUCCUCCCUCACCCCACAGCCCCACCCUUCUUUUUUCCUGUAAAGAUCACCCCUCUCAGCUGGGCAAGGUGGCACAGGCCUGUAAUCCCAGCACUCGGAGGCUGAGGCAGGAAGAUCGAAAGUUUAAGUCCAACCUGGGCAACUUAACAACUUAGCAAGACCCUGUCUCAAAAUAAAAAAUAAAGGGGAGUGGGCCAGGGAGUGAGCUCAAUGCAAAGGCACUGGGUUCAACACCGC
ensembl:lncRNA